rnacentral:lncRNA from 1 species
UUGAGACCAUCAAUCAUAUUUUCACGAGCAGCAGCAUCUCCGACCAGGUAUGGCAGUACUUUGGAGACAUCUUUCAGAUACCUAUGACUUCAGGGGAGGGGGUCAGACAGAGGUUCCAAAGACGGCGGUAUUCUGGACAUCACGUUUACCGUGGACACAUUCGUAUUAUCAUUCCUCUACUGAUAUUUUGGUUUCUAUGGACUGAGAGGAAUGAUGCGAAGCAUAGAGGUAUUCGUAUGGUGGCCAG